rnacentral:rRNA from 1 species
AUACAGAGGGUGCGAGCGUUAAUCGGAAUUACUGGGCGUAAAGCGCGCGUAGGCGGCUUAUUAAGUCAGAUGUGAAAUCCCCGGGCUCAACCUGGGAACUGCACCUGAUACUGGUAAGCUAGAGUUUUGGAGAGGGAAGUAGAAUUUCAGGUGUAGCGGUGAAAUGCAUAGAGAUCUGAAGGAAUACCAGUGGCGAAGGCGACUUCCUGGUCAAAAUCUGACGCUGAGGUGCGAAAGCGUGGGUAGCAAACGGGAUUAGAAACCCCGGUAGUCC